rnacentral:rRNA from 1 species
UACAGAGGUCUCAAGCGUUGUUCGGAUUCAUUGGGCGUAAAGGGUGCGUAGGUGGCGUGGUAAGUCGGGUGUGAAAUUUCGGAGCUUAACUCCGAAACUGCAUUCGAUACUGCCGUGCUUGAGGACUGGAGAGGAGACUGGAAUUUACGGUGUAGCAGUGAAAAUGCGUAGAGAUCGUAAGGAAGACCAGUGGCGAAGGCGGGUCUCUGGACAGUUCCUGACACUGAGGCACGAAGGCCAGGGGAGCAAACGGG